rnacentral:rRNA from 1 species
CAGUAGCCGCGGGAACACGAAGGGUGCAAGCGUUACUCGGAAUUACUGGGCGUAAAGCGUGCGUAGGUGGUGGUUUAAGUCCGUUGUGAAAGCCCUGGGCUCAACCUGGGAAUUGCAGUGGAUACUGGGUCACUAGAGUGUGGUAGAGGAUAGUGGAAUUUCCGGUGUAGCAGUGAAAUGCGUAGAGAUCGGAAGGAACAUCUGUGGCGAAGGCGACUAUCUGGGCCAACACUGACACUGAGGCACGAAAGCGUGGGGAGCAAACAGGAUUAGAUACCCCAGUAGUCCCUGUCUCUUAUAA